rnacentral:rRNA from 1 species
GGGUCAGUAGGUUGGUCGUGCCACCGGUACGUACUGGUCUCACUGAUUCCUCCUUCCUGAAGAACCGUAAUGCCAUUAAUUUGGUGUUGCGGGGAAACAGGACUGUUACUUUGAAAAAAUUAGAGUGUUUAAAGCAAGCUAACGCUUGAACACAUUAGCAUGGAAUAAUGAAAUAGGACAAUCGAUCCUAUUUUGUUGGUUUCUAGGAUUGACGUA